CGUCCGCAGGAAUGCGUCGAACGGGGCGGUGACAGUGACGUAGUUGGUUUGACCACGUGCCCUCUGUCUCCAUGGAAACAGCGACACAUGCCUAUGCCGGGUUUAGCGCCUGUCGCUCCCCCAGCGGUGUGAGCUGCGGGGAGUCACCCGCCGCGGGGCCCGGACCUGGAGCCAACGUUAAACGUCAGUAGGGGAGCAGCGUUCCCCCCCCCCUCCCCGUGUGCACAAGGUGGGGGCAGGGAGCCCUGGGGCCGGGCUGGCCACGGGAGAGAAACGCGCUGACCGGGCUGGGCUACACCGGGCGUCGGUGAAACUCCUCCAGCCCCAAGCAAUGCUCAGUCUCGCGCUGUGCCCGCUGCGGCACGUUAGCGGCGGGUGUCUGUUGGAAGCGCGCGCCUGAUGCGCCUGCUUUAAUUUGGGACCCGAGUGUGAACCUCCCAGUCUGCAGGGUGAAAUUGACCGGAGUGUGGCUGGGCCGCUCGAGUCCAGUCCAGCGAUCGGCUCCCUUAAGCCUUGUUGUGAGCGUUUAAGUCAGAUGUACGGUAUUAUGGAAAACCCAGUGGACCUUUGUUUUACUGAAGAAGGAUGUAGCCAUGACAUAGUUCUUGAGAAACAAGUGUUUAGAUCCAAAGUGCCAGAGUCUCAUGUUCAACUUGCUUGUAAUCUACAUUACUGUGCUUUUCCUUUGAAUGGAAAUGAGCUAUGCAUCUGGAAUACUGGCGAUAGCCCUGCUCAUCAUCAGCCAUUGCACUUGGUAGGACAUCACCAUUCAAUCACAGCACUGGCGUUUGGAAGUAAAAUCAAUCCACUUCUGGUCUGCUCUGCUUCUUGUGACUAUGUGAUAGUAUGGAACCUGGAUGAGUGCAUAAAGAAAGCACUACAAGGAUUAAUGCCUCGAGGAAUUGUUAUAGGAACUCUUUUGGGAAUGGUACUUUAUGUACGAUUUAGUCCAGAUGACCAGGCUGUGGCAGUAUGUGCUGGAAAUCGGAUAUAUAUGUUAAAUGCAAAGAAUGAGGCUAUAUUAACUGAGUUGGAAGGCCAUCUGGCUCCAGUGACUGCAGCUGAGUUUUGCACCUGGGAGAGAAAUAUGCUUAUAUCAGUCUCUGAAGACAGAAGCUUUAAGGUUUGGGACUAUUGUACUGGAUUGCUAAUAUACCAAUCAGCAGUGUUAACAGCAUUUCCUUUGCUAAGUCUGUUCAUUGAUGAAGAAAAUAAACAGAUUAUUACAGGAUGUGCUGAUGGGCAGCUUUGGAUCUUCAGUUUGCUCAGUGGACACCAGUACCGUUGUGUGGUACAUAUAAACUUAAAGAAAGAGCGAGAUAAAUUCUACAGCAAAACUGGAAAAUCUAGACAACAAUUAGAUCAAAUACAGAAGUUUUCUAAGCUGUACAGCACAAAUGACAUGAGACCAGAAGAAACAGUGGAAACAACAUUGCCAGUCCUCAGAAUUGAACACUGUGACCAAUCAAUAAAUUUAGGCAAAGAAGAAAAGUUUUUUCCUGCUGUAAAUGCCAGAUGUUUGUGGAUAGGAAGCUCUACUGGUUUGUUCAUAAUUAACUUGGCAAACUUUGAAUUAGAAGCUGUUUUACAUUAUAAAGAUUACAGCGGCCUCACCAUUCAAUUUGCUGGAUCAUGCGCAUUAAUGAGGAAGGCAGUUAAUGGGAAGGUUUUCUGCUUGCUUACUUCGAUGUUUGAAAAUACGAUUGCUUUGCUGGAGAUUAACCUUGCUGCUUUGAUGAGAUCUCAGCAGAGUGAUUUUCUCUUAUGUGGAAAGGAGAAGAGGCUUUCAGUUAUUGCAAGUUGCUCUCUGUUGCCAAAUUCUCCAUUGUGUACUGAGUCUUUCAAGAAGGAAAGCUGCAAACCUACCAAUAAAAAAAAACUUGGUACGAAGAGCACAAUGAAAGACCAGUCACUGGUUUUCCACAGUAAAAUUAAGUCAUCAGGUUACACAACAGCACCGCAAAUGACCAUGUUUUCUCCAAAGACUAACUUGAAGAAAAAUAACAAGAUAUCAGAGUGGAAGAGCAGUUGCAAACGAAAAAAUAAAGAAUAUCUAUUGGAAAAUUCUCCUCCAACUAAAUCUGAGAGACAGAUAUCAGUAGCUAAUAAACCAACUUCUAUUUGCUGUAUUCAGUAUUCAGGGGAUGGAGAGCUGUUAGCUUGUGGCCUAGCUGACAAAUCUUUACUGGUAUUCAAUUCCAAUCUGACAGGAACACCGGCUGUUUUUUCAGGUCAUGAUGGUGCAAUUAACUCUGUUGGCUGGAGUCAUGACAAGAGGUGGUUAGUUUCUGCAUCAGAAGACAGAACAUUAAGGAUCUGGUCAGUCCGCAAUACAGAACCUGCCCUAUUUCUGGGCAAGGAGAUGUUCCAUAAAUCUAUACGCUUUGCACAGUUUUAUUACAUAGAUACAUUUAUAUUGCUGUGUUGUGGAGCUGAAUUUCGUCUGUUAAGUUACUAUCUUGACACAAGCAAGGAUGACCUAAAACGAUAUAAACAGAAGAGCAUUUGCAAAUCAGUACAGAAAUUCCCCAUGGCUUCUACUGUGGAGAUUACCAGCCUUUCAGCAAUAAAUGAUUUCUACUCUUAUAUUAUACUUGCAGCUGGUAGCAACCGAACAUUAGAAGUUUUUGACCUCAAUGCAGGCUGCAGUGCAGCAGUAAUACCAGAUGCUCAUUCUAGAUCAGUCCACCAGAUCUGUCAAAAUAAGGGAUCAGCUUUUAGCACUCAGCCGCUUGAAGCUUACAAUCUUUUCAUGACCACAGCCACUGGUGAUGGCAUCAAACUGUGGGAUUUGAGAACACUGAGGUGUGAACGUCGAUUUGAUGGACAUAUUAACCGCUGCCACCCAUGUGGAAUAGCUGUCACUCCCUGUGGGCAAUUCAUAGCCUGUGGAUCAGAAGAUAAAAGCGCUUACAUAUAUGAGAUGCGUUCGAGUACCUUUUCCCAUAAAUUGGCAGGACACACGGAAUCAGUGAUCAAUGUGGCUUUUAGUCCCUCGUCUCCACAGAAAAUUCAGGGAGCUGCAUACCCUUAUUCUGUAAGGUACAAGGACCACCUAGAUGAUCAUCCCCUGAACUUUGUAAUCCUCAUGACACUGCCUGAAGUCAGACUGAAGUUGAUUUCUACAUUUAAUUUGAACCAGGAAAUACUGUUGCCUUCUAUUUUGUCCUAAUCUGCAGAAUUGCAUCUGGACUGUUCUAGAAAACCUCGUAAAAAGGAAAUGAAUAAAUAACUCACCACAGCCACCUUGGAUGGCAAACUCCAGUUGUUUCUACCUUGAUGCUUGCCAGCCUGUGGAACGCUGGCCUUGGUGCUCUGGAAAUAACAGCUUGCUGAGAGAAAGGAGAUUGGCAACUGUGCAAGCCACAAAAUAUUCGUUUUUAAAUUACAGUUGUAGAAAUAAUGUCACUUACAUUGGAAAAAUAAGGACAAGAUACAGUGUGGUACAAUUGUACUCAUUCAGGCCUCAGUACAGCAAAGGCUUAAGGAUUUAUGUCAAUGGGGCUACUCACAUGCUUAAAGGUAAGCAUGCUUAAAGGCUCUAUUGGAGUCUCUUAUCUGUAGAUUGGUGACACAGUUAAAAUAGAAAGUGAUCCAGGUUUAAAGCUAAAAUUCCUGCCUAUAACAGAAGACUUGAAAUGCUCCUUUUUUUUUUUAAAGGAGAGUUCCUCAUUCUUAAUGAAGUGACAUUAGGAGUCAUGUUGGUCCCUUGUUUAUAUCUAUGCAACUCCCAUGAGGUUACUGGAAGUAACUUGGGUAUAGCAGAAUUUGGUCCUCAUUACUGAGACAAUCUGAUUUACAUCCAUUUUAUUGCAUUCUGUUAUCCCUUGUACCCAUUCUGUUAAGUUGUUAGGGAUGGGGGAAAGACUUUUAUUUUAAAGGCUUUGUCUUCACAGAGCUAACUUGAUAUUUUAGUUUGGUAAUUUACUUAUGUUUAGUUUUGUUGUGACAGUAGGGGUGUGCCCCAUUUCUAGAAACAGAAAAUUUGAAAAGUAUUGAAGUAGAAAAUUAGUUCUGGGAGAAAGCUUUGGGGGUUUUAUUUUAUUUUAUUUUAUUUUUUACAAUCUCUAGCUAUGUUUGCCCUAAUCUUUGAAAAUUCUGAUGUUGGAUGUUGUUUUGAAUAAUAAACUGGUG